rnacentral:rRNA from 1 species
CCCUUAGAUGUUCUGGGCCGCACGCGUGCUACACUGAGUGGAUCAGCGGGUCAGGUUGCGCGAAAGCGUUUCCUAAUCUUUAAAUCCGCUCGUGAUGGGGAUUGACGGUUGCAAUUUUCUGUCAUGAACGAGGAAUACCUUGUAAGCGCGGGUCAUCAUCCCGCGCUGAAUACGUCCCUGCCCUUUGUACACACCGCCCGUCGCUCCUACCGAUUGAGUGGUCCGGUGAGGCUUUGGGAUCUGAGCGGAAAGAGCGUUUCGCUGUUUCUGCUUGGAAAACUCAGUCGAACCUUAUCAUUUAGAGGAAGGAGAAGUCGUAACA